UACAGUCCUAGCUAAGACUUGCUUGUUCUUUAAUGGCGGAGACGGAGGCAGAGGUCUAGCACGUUCGAACAACCAACAAUCAGCAUGUCGAAGAAAACGAGAGGUUGAGAGCUAUUCUAGGAGAGUGGAGCACCUGAGCAGCAAAGCUUGAACGAGCCUUGGAGAUUGAGCGGAUGUCGAACCUCGAACUACAGAAGAUUUCAACGUCUAGAAGAAAUCCAUCGUCACAUACAUCAGGUGAA